rnacentral:piRNA from 1 species
UGCAGUUAUUAGUCAAGUAAUCCCUUCAUUG